UACGUAGGGCGCAAGCGUUGUCCGGAAUUAUUGGGCGUAAAGAGCUCGUAGGCGGCCAGUUGCAUCUGCUGUGAAAUCCCGGGGCUCAACCCCGGGCGUGCAGUGGAUACGGGCUGGCUAGAGGCAGGCAGGGGAGAACGGAAUUCCCGGUGUAGCGGUGAAAUGCGCAGAUAUCGGGAGGAACACCGGUGGCGAAGGCGGUUCUCUGGGCCUGUACUGACGCUGAGGAGCGAAAGCGUGGGGAGCGAACAGG
rnacentral:rRNA from 1 species